UGGGUAGUCCGCACGAGCGCACCUUACUUUUAGUUGCCACCAUUUAGUUGGGCACUCUAAAAGAACUGCCAGUGAUAAGCUGGAGGAAGGUGGGGAUGACGUCAAGUCCUCAUGGCCCUUACGUGUUGGGCUACACACGUGCUACAAUGGUACUUACAAUGAGAUGCGAAGAGGCGACUCUAAGCCAAUCCCAAAAAUGUGCCUCAGUUCGGAUUGUACUCUGCAACUCGAGUACAUGAAGCUGGAAUUGCUAGUAAUCGCGGAUCAGCGCGCCGCGGUGAAUACGUUCCCGGGUCUUGUACACACCGCCCGUCACACCAUGGAAGUUGGUUACACAUUAAGGCAAAGCGUAAAACCUUUGACUACGGUACGAUCAGCAACUGGGGUGAAGUCGUAACAAGGUAGCCGUAGGGGAACCUGCGGCUGGAUCACCUCCUUUCU
rnacentral:rRNA from 1 species